rnacentral:rRNA from 1 species
GACAGAGCGCGCGGGCGUUAUUCGUUAUGAUUGGGUGUAAAGGGUAUGUAGGCGGCUUUAGAAGUUUUGGCUCAAAACGCGGAGUGUUCCUACGCGACAGCCUUUUCUCAGAAUAAGCUUGAAUUGAAGAUAGGUCGGGGCAAUUUCUUGUGUAGGGGUAAAAUCCCGCCAUAUAAGAAAGAACACCAGCUGGCGGAGGCGCCUUUCUAGUUUCAAUUGACGCUAAGGUACGGAAGCGUGGGGAGCAAACAGA